AUAGAAUCAUGGUAAUAUUUAAUGUAUUACUUUAGAAUAAUUAUGUAGAAUUCAGUUUUAUCGGAAGUUUGCAAAAAAAAAGUUAUCAUGUGAAAUUUCUAUUGUUAUUAUGUAUAUAUCAUACACACCAUUCAAAUUUUGUGUCGUUCAAGUUUAUCUGAUAUUUUUUUUUCAGAAAUAUACACAUGGCUUUUACAAAAAAAAUAACAUACUGUAUAGUACAACAGAUUUGAUGGUUUUAUCAAUUAUAGCAGUUUUUAUUAGAAUUUUUAAGAAAUUUGAAAGAUAACCAAGUUCUGUGACUAAUGGUAAUUUUUGGAGGUUUAGUGUAUACCAGUGUCGAUUUUUGAGUUUGAUUCCCGCAUUUGUUAGUUUGGGUUUCGGUCUACGGAUUAAACAUAGUGAAUUGUAAGAUACGCUGGGUUCAUCAUGUGGCGAUAGUUAGAAAAUAUUCAAACAUGAGUCAAACAAUAGUAUUACGUUUUCUAACAAAAUCUACUUUAUAAUAUUAAAUUUGUUUUUAGGACUGAUGGAUAACCGAUAGGUUCAUAAAAAAAAUUUCGAAAGAUGACAAAAAUAUACAAUGCGGAAAAUACGGUACAGACAAAAGUAGAUAUACAUAAUUAAUUGAUGGAAGCGAAUAAGCAACUAAUUCGCACACGUAACAAAAUAAAAGAAUUAUAAUAUUUUGGUAAUUGUGUGUUUCUGAAUAUUCGCGUAGAAUAAUGAGAUAUAUUAAUUUAUUUUUUAUUUUUCGUUUAAAGAUUUUGAAUUGUUUUAGCUUUAUACGUAAAGUCGUUCAUUAUUGGACCGAAUGUAUAUAUUAGUUGUUUUUUUUUUUUCCGAAUGUAUUAUUUGUUGGUAAGAAAAUUGUAUUUUGUUUGUUUUCACCGAAGUUUUGUUUCAUUGUUGUUCAUGCAUGGCAGAAACGUUUGGUACAUGCACGAUCAAUAAUUGGAUGAAAACAGACGUUAUGAAAUAAAUAUAGUAAUUAAGGGGAAAUAUAAUAAUUAAGGAUUAUUUUGUAGACAAGAAAUAGUAAGGAAAUAAAUGUAUUAAACAAUGACGCAAAUUGUGUGGUCUACUUAAUUUAAUCUUAAAAUGCAACACAAAAAAUCUUCAGUUGCUGAAUAUUUUUAUGCUCAGUCAAAGCAAAGGUAUUCUGGAACUUAAAUAUCACACCGUUCGCGAAAAGUAAUUAACUUAAAUUUAUACCCUAGACAUUUUGAAUGUGUUCCACGUAAUUUAGAUAAUUAUCUAAUGAAAUAAUAUUUUUCCUUGUAGAUUUAUAUGAUAUAGCUAUUAUUUAUAUAUAUGUACACGUCAUGGUCAAUGUAUAAUAUAAACCAAAUAAAUGGGCAGGUAGGUUUACAUUGUAUAUGUAGCGUUAUUACGAAUGUCUCUGUCUCUCUAGUCUCUACUCUGGAUUCGUUUCCUCAUUGGAUUACAUUAUAGGACGAGGAUCAAAGUUCCCAUCUUUUAAGGUUUUUCUUUUUAUUUGUAACUUAGGUUUAUCUUUAUUUAUCUAGAAAGAAAUGGUCUUUUAUAAAUCCAGCCUUAUUUUCCUCACUUCAUCUACGAAUUAAUUAACCUUAUUUAGAUAUUGCUUGUAAUGGAUAGGUUAUUAGCAUAAGUAGACAAAAGAUUUCGUGUACGUCUUUUGAUCUUAGCUGCAUUUCACACUAUAUAUACAAUUGUUUUCGCAAAAUGUGAAUUUAUAACAAAAACUGAAUGAAACGUACUCUAAAUCAUCUCUCUUUUUUUUAUAACAUCUCCCUAAAUCAUCUCUUUAUAUUGUUAUGGCAGAACCUAAUUAAAGUAGAGUUCUAAAUCAAUUAUAGAAGACAGUUUGCAUUCGCUGUUUCUUUAAAUCGUGGGUCAUGUUUCUUUAAAUAUUUCGUACUUUAGAAACUCUGGUUUGGUGUAACUUGUGUCUAUGUUCGCUUUCCAGUUAAUCUUCAGAUGGAUCGAGUGAUAUAGUACUUUGUUUUGCGUUGUCAUGUAGAAACUAAUUUGCGUUUUUAACUAGUAAAUAUACCUUUUAUAUCAUCUCGCUUUUUAGAUUUAGAUCGGACAUUGAAUUUUUUUUUUUUUGGUUUGAUGCCUUAAAUGGAAAAUAAAGACACUUUAUAAGAUGAAAGAUCACUAAUCUUAUGAGUCGCGAGAGCUAUGGAUCGAUGCCGUAACCAAUUGACUUUCCGGUUUGGAUCUAAAAACUUUAAUCGCGCCCAUAUACGCAACGUCCAUAGGUACAUAUCAAUACCUAAAAAAAACUAAAGCGACUUGAUCAAAAAAAAUAAAAAGUAAAGCGGCUUGGGAUAAACAACUUUUACAGAAAAUGGACCUUUGACUUCGUAUGGAGGUUUUAGAUGAUGAAAUGGUCCUUUAUUACACCUAUAUAGAGUGAUUUAAGAGUUGCCAAUGUCCUCUUUUCAAUCGAUGGUCUGAAUCCCAACUUGCUUCCACCGAUUUUUUUGCUUUAAAAAUAUUGUAUAGCCGCCCUAUGCGAGCACUUCUAAUGACUUUGGCAUGACACAGACUUAUCCAUGGGGAACUAUACCAAAAAAAUUCUUUAAACUUAGUGAAAGCUCUUUAAACUCUAUUUAACAUAAAAAAAAAUUAAACCUUUUUUGUCAACCCAAGAAAAAAAAUGUAAACCCUUUCUUUCAUCAAACAUUAUUUCAUGAGAACGGCUGUUCCAUUCUAUAUAAUUUCAGUGAAGUGAAUGAUGAUAAUGUGAAAUGGGAUAUAUAACGUUAUACGAACAAAAGGAGAAAAUUUAUAGAGAACAUUGAGGUCUGGACUAAACGACUUUCUAAUAUUAUAUACUAAUAAAAAUUCAGUAUUGCAAAUCUCUUGAUAAGAUUUUUUUUUUUGUUUGGAACACCUCUUAAUAAGAUUUAAAACACCAAUAAAACAUACUAAACAAACAUUUUAGUUAAUUAUUUUAAAAUUAAAUAAAAUAUGUUAUUACAUCAAAAGGAAAAGACUAUCUAUCACAUCAAACUCAAGUGAUUCGUUUUUCUGAGGUGUGAACGCCAAAGGCGUACGUGGUGGACCGGUUUAGAUCCAUGACUGAUCCCUAACAAGCCUCGUCUGGCUGUACCAUCACAUAACUGCCAGGUCUAUCACUACAUCCUAUAACUCUUGAAACGGAUUAUGCUCUUUGAAUAGAUCGAUCGUUGAUGACAGCCUAAUGGGUUAGACACACAAUUGACUGGUCUACUGAAAUGGGUUAAAUGAAAUAAGAUGCCUAGGUUUAUAAACAUUUAUUUUUAGUUUCUGCCUACAUUUUGAUAAACAUUAAAAAUUGAUUAUGAAUAUAAUGACUACGACAACAAAAUUAAGAAUCAAAUUUAGAAAUCUUAAUUCUUGAAUUCUUUUAUAUUUUAUGAGAUAACCCGCAAGAUAAUCGAAUUAACAUGAGCCACGAGACUCAAACUAAUUUCCAAACUAAAUUGAAUCGAAAUAUGAUAUGAAAUAAAAUGUUAUAAGUUAUGGAAUAAUAUAUGUCCUACUCUGGUACCAUGUAGGGGGAUAGUGUUCCAAAUUCUUGCAUCAAAUGAAACUUAGCCACGAAGACGACAUUAAUUAUUUUAUAUAUUUAUAUUUAAAAAAUUAUAAAUUUAUAUUGAGCCAAUGUAUAUUCAUGUAAUUCCAGGUAUAAUUUGAUUGGUCCAUCAUAUUGCAGCCAUAUCUUCAACCUUGGUAUAAAUCUCUAUAUAGUUAGACCUCAUCAAACCAUGAAACUUUUAUAUAUUAAAAGGACACUUACAGCACAGUGAUAUGAACCAAUGAUUAUAUGUAUAAUAGUAUAAUACUGUAUUGAUUCAAAACCAAGUUCCUUUUCCAUCACUGACACUACAAAAAGUCUUCACCAAAUAUAUAUGCGCAUUUGUCAGAUAAAGUGAAACCACUUGCAUGAAAACUAUGGCUCCCAAUGGUAACAUCCGUCCCGUACCGCACCGCAGUUAACAGUAACAAAAAUCUCUGUAUAUAAAAUAAGGCUUCGAAUGGUGACCAUUGUCCCGCCCCGCCCCGCAGUUAACAGUAACAAAAAUCUCUACAUAUACUAUAUAUCUAUACAUUUUUAUAACUGUUAAAAUCGCAACGCAGUUAAACCGCUUAUCCCGCACUGCUCAAACCGCAGUUACCAUUAGGAGCUUAUAUUUAUACAUUUUUAUAACUAUCAAAACCGCACCGCAGUCAAACCGCUUGUUCCGGACCGCAGUAUCCGCUAUAUUUAUACAUUUCUAUUUUUUGUGUGUGCGACUGAAUUGCGUGCUGAAAAAAAUCCAUCAGUCAUAAAAGUAAGAAAUCUUUAUCUAAGGAACUGUAGCUACGUACUCUCAUUAGCUAUAUAGCGUAUAGGUAUAGAAUGAGACUGCGAUGGCUAUAGAGUAUAGAUAGUUAGAACCCUACGAAGCACGUGAUGAGUUGGUCAGAACUCAGAACCAUACUGUAACACUACUAUACUAGUGAUCGUUUCAUUGGCUAUAUUGCGACAGCUACUUCUGUUAGGCUGUACGCAAUCGGUUGGUUAGUCUGGUGAAAGUUUGGUCUGAAAAGUGUGAUAAAACAUAAUAUCUACAGUUACAUAGAAGAAUGUAAGAGAAAAUUUGUAAAUUAACAGAACGAAUGGCUACAUGGCUUUUCAAAGCAUCUUCUCAUGUAUGCUCUUGAUUUUCUACGUUUACUUGUAUUAGCUCAAUAGCCGUCUAAAACCCAAACUCAUCUCCUUGGAAAUUAAAGUUUAAUUUCCAGUUGAUUAUAUAUUAAACUUUUCAAUUUCAAAAAAAUUUAACAUACGUAUAUGUGUCGGUAUAGCUAUUGCCUAUUGUGGUGUUUAUUGCAAGUGACUCGUGGUCGUAGGUACGCUUAAGCAUGGGAGUGUCUUAGUACUACUGUCUACAAACUCGAGCGAUCGAGCACAUACACAUCAAACAUUCAAACUCAACAACAAAGUCUACUGUCUUUGUAAUAAGUGGUUCUUGUAAGUUUUUUUUUUUUGGUAAAAAUGUUAAAUUUUUUUACCAUUUUCAAUUUUUUUGGUUCUUGUAAGUUGUAACCACAAUUCUUGUAAAACGAAAAACUUGGUAUACAUUUUAACAUUUGCACCAAAAAGCGUACUGUCUUGGGUGGCAUACGCACGUGUAUAUGUUAUUACCAAUUAGAGUUUUAGUUCGCUGUAUAAAGAAAAAAAGCAAUGUGUAAGCCUUGUGAACUUUAAGCAAGAAAGUUAAUUCAAGAAACCGUCAUCAUUCUCAUUUUUUUUUCUGAAGCUCUGCUUUAACUUUCAAUAAUUGACUGGUAUAACCUACAAUGUUUAACGUAUAACAUUUCGGUGAAUGCUUCACCUAUGUAUAUAUGCAGCUCUCUCAAAGGGGAACGUGGUAAUAAUUAAUAAAAUUUCUUAGGUCUUGAGACGAUAACAUAUUGUUCUGAUGUCGGAGAGACCGCAUUUUCGGAUACGGUAAUACAUGGACGUCUCUUUCCACAAUUUCACUCAAAAGCCAAGCUUGUUAGCUUAUCCUAGGUCUACGUAGCUACAUCUUUAUAUAAAAAUGCACCCUAAUUAAUAUUUUAGCACGUGCAAGGGGAGCGGUCGAACAGGGUCUAAAAUUUUAGAGGGCCCAUAAUUUUUUUUGUUAUAGUAAUAGUUAUAAAUUUAAAAAUCAGAUAACUAUAUUUAAGUUUAUUUUUCUAUUUACUAACCAAUAAAUAUAUAUUACAAAUUUGAUUUUGUUUACAUAACCAACAAAAUGCAAUAAUUCAAGAAGUAAUUAACAUUUAUAUCAAUUAUAUAUUUUGGAAAGUACAAAAUAGUUGUCGGUGUUUGUUUUAAUAUUCAAUGUAAUUUUAGAAAGUUCAAAUUCUAAAUUGAU